CUUACAGCUGCCUUAUUAAGAGGAUUAUUCUUUCGGGAAGCUGGGAUCUGAACUCUUUUCAGUCUUACUGGCAUUGGUAGCUGGAGAGUGGAUAAAAAGGAAGGAUCGUGAUGAACCACAAGCCAGAAACUGAAGUCAUCAAAGGUGUCCAGGAUGGAGAAGAGAGAGAGUAGAUGGCACUGCUGCAAAUGUGACUGAGUGGAAGAAAAAAAGUGAUUGCUA
rnacentral:lncRNA from 1 species